UCCUCUCGCGAAGUCCAUCCCUCAUUUGUCGAUCUCCGCCAUCUCUCAGACGCUGCCUCCUCCGCCGACACUGCCCUCUCCUCCAAUGCCAAUGUCGAGACCUGCAAUAGACGCCAUCGCCGAUGCCAUCAUUCCGUCUCGACCUAUUGUCGACCCUGCUAGCCUCCGCCAUCGCCAUUGCUAGCCUCCACCACCACUGGGUUUCAGACAUUCAUCUCAUUUGCGCCUCCCACGCCUCAACCCUCUCACUCCUCACCUCAAACUCCGGCUUCCGCUUCGCCACUUUGCCUUUUUCGUGGACUGUGACUCCUACUCGGGCUCUCCACCUUCUCAGCUCUCAUGGCCUCACCCCUCUCAGUUGUGAAUUGUCAUUUGGGGAAUUGGGGGGAGAAAUGAGAAUGGAUGGUUCUGCAAUUUUGAAGACAUCAUUUAGGAGAUAAUUAAGUUUAUUGAAGAAGUUGAGACAAGUUUGCAUGUCGCAAUUAUGAUUGUUAGAAGAGCUAUGAAAAACUCUACCGUUGAUGCUGGUGGUGUUGUGAUAGAUAUGGAGAUUAGCCGAUAUUUAAGGCAGCAUGCACGCACAAUAAAAGGGAAAUCUCAACUCUUUAUAAACUCAUAUGCCAAAGCCCUUGAGGCAAGAUGUUGCAGGAAUUCCUUUGAAUCGUCGUACAACAAUUCGUACCAUGACUAGUGCACUAAACAUGUCAAAGACAAGCCUUCACAUGAGAGUUAAAGAAGGAUCUUUGAAACCUCACUCAAAUGCUAUCAAGCCUAUGUUAACAGAGGAAAAUCGAAAGGUGAGGUUACAAUUCUGCAUAUCUAUGAUUGAUUCAAAUCCAUCUCAUAAUAUUCCUUGUUUCAUAGAUAUGUUUGACCGUGUUCAUAUAGAUGAGAAAUGGUUUUAUCUCUCAAGAACAUCUCAAAAAUACUAUCUCUUGCCUGAAGAAGAAGAGUCAUAUCGUACUUGUAAAAGUAAAAAAUUUAUAACAAAAGUUAUGUUUCUUUGUGUUGUGGCUCGCCCUCGAUUUGAUUUAGAAAGAAAUGAAAUGUUUGAUGGAAAAAUUGGAAUGUUUCCAUUUGUUUAUAAAGAAGCAACCAAGCGUAAAAGUAAAAAUCAAGAAGUUGGAACCUUAGAAACUAAGCCUAUUGAAUCAGUAAAUAAAAAAGUUACAAGAAAAUGGUUGAUUGAUUAUGUUUUACCGGCAAUAUGAGCAAAAUGGCAUCCAAAUAGUUCAAAAACUAUAUAUAUUCAACAAGAUAAUGCAAGGCCGCAUAUUAGUGUAAAUGAUGUUGAGUUUCUUGAAGCUGCCCGAAAAGAUGGUUUUGAUAUCCACUUAACUUGUCAGCCUCCUAAUAGUCCAAGAUAUGAAUGUGUUGGAUCUUGGUUUUUUUAGAGCUCUUCAAUCUUUACAGUACCAAGAAGCUCCUCGGAAUGUUGAUGAACUAGUAGUUGCUACUAUAAAAGCUUUUGAUGAGAUCUCAGUAGACAACCUUAAUAAUGUUUUUUUAACAUUGCAAUUAUGCAUGGUUGAGGUUAUGAAAAAGUUUGGAGGGAAUAAUUAUAAAUUGCGACACAUAAAUAAGCAAAGGUUAGCUCGAGAAGACCGAUUACCUAUUACUAUCUCAUUUGAUCCAGAAGUAUUGACUGAAGCAAUUUCAAGCCUCCAGCAAUGAAGUACUGUAAAUGUACACGUUUGCUAUUGUAAGUUGAAUGAAAUUUUAGUGUAACUUUUACUAUGUAUUAGGUGUGUAUAUUUCAUAUUCAUCACUACUGCUCUUUUGUAUUUUUGCGUUCAAGUAUGAGUACGGAGUGUACAACAGCAGAAACUAUGAUGAUUAAUGUAAUCUAUUUUGAUCUUUUGUGUAUAUUCAUUAAUGUAGUCUAUUUUGAGAUUGGAGUGUUU